ensembl:lncRNA C1RL-AS1 C1RL antisense RNA 1
GAGCCUCACAGCAAAGCCCUCUGGAGCCUUGAUGUCCGUGCUGCUCUCUUGGCCUUUGCCAUACGGCUCUGGGUACCCGGGGGAUGUCAGCUGCUGGGGUAGCUCUUGGGCCAAGAGGACGGAGCCCCGGGUUGGGCAAGCCUGGAGGACUCCCCAGAGAAGCAGCCACCACCUCCUCCCGCGCAGCCUGAGCUCUAGGAUUGUGGGUUUUCCAUCCUCCGAAGACAUCACCUUUGCUCAUCUCCCAGGAGAGUCUCGUCCAAAGGAGGGGGGUGCUUUCUGCUUCAGCAGAUCCCACCCCACCCUGGGAUCCGAGGGAGCAAUGGUGGGGCGAGUGAGGGUCUGCCGUAAAUAUCCCCCGACCACCCUCUGGGAAGGUGCUAGAGGCCACAGGCAAAUUUCAGUCUCCCCAUGGAAUAUCUGCUGUGCUGCUGCUGCUGCUGCUGCUGGCUAGAGAGAUUUAGGAGAGCCACAGUCUAUGGCUACAAGGAGAUGAUAAGAGAGUGAUGGCCAGGACAGAUGCAAUGUCUCAGAACUCUUAGGGUCACCUGGAGCACCUUGGGAGCCAGAGAUGCAGCCAAAGAGUGAACAAUGGUACCAAUCCCAAGACCCAUGUGUUAAGAAGAAACCAGCCAAGACUCAGAUCAGGAUUGGGGAGUCCACCCCUCGUUUCCCUUCAGAGCAUUAUUUCCUUGUUUGCUAAGAGGGGCAGGAACUGGAAAACUCAGGCUAGCCCAUCUGAGAAGACUUUCCUGGAGAUGAGCUGGAGGAGGGAGGAGUAAGGCCUUGGAAGGAAACUCCAGGACAGCACCACCUCCCCUACACUGGGACCUCGUCUCUAACUGGCAGAGUGGUCAAUGAAAAAAAGGGCAUGCCUUGGCACAUCAUGGUCAAACUGCUAAAAGCCAAAGACAAGAGAAAAUCUUUUCUUUUUUUUAAUCCCAUCCUAAAGACUAGACAGAACAAUAUUUUCAAUGUCACUCUUUUCUCAUCAAAACCAAUAUAGACCAGAAGACAGUGGAAUAUCUCUAAAAUGCUGAAGGAAAAAAAAAGUCAACUCAGAAUUGUUUUUCUAGUGAAAGUAUUCUUCCAGAAUGAAGAUGAAAUAAAGCUAUUUUCAGAUAAAAGAAAACAGAGAUUCUUGUCGCCAGCAGACCUCCACUAUGAGAAGCGCUAAAGAAAGUUCUUUAGGACGGGCACGAUAGCUCACGCCUAUAAUCCCAGCAUUUUGGGAGGCCAAGGUGGGAGGAUUGCUUGAGCUCGGAAGAUGGAGGCUGCAGUGAGCCAUGACGGUGCCACUGCACUCCAGCUUGGGUGACAGAGUGAGACGCUGUCUCAAAUUGGAAGAGCAGAGCUGCAGACAGGAAUAAGAAGAACGGUAAAUUUGAAGAUGGGACCGUCUAGUUGCAAGAAAACAAGCUCAGGGCUCCCACUGAUUCUACAUUACGGGCUGUGGGUUCCUUGAGGGAGGAAUUUUGUCCUGCAGGCUGUGGCAGCCCUAGGACUCAGCACAUCUAGGUGUCCACCUGCGUCUGUGGUGAGAAGCCUGAUCAUUGCCACGUGACCGCCUCCUCACUGUUGGUACCUGGUUGUAGAGAGCAGCUCUGUGAGUAGAAGGAGAAGGAUCCUGCCCUGGAGAGGGCCUGGCUGGUCCUCACCUGGGGCCUAUCAUUUAGUAACAGGGCUUCUGGAAGUGGUAGCAGAUCUGGGCCUGGUGGGCAUUCUGCUUCUCCUGGGUGGCAGCAGAAGUCCCUAGGUGGCAGGCUGGGGACUGCCCAAAGGUUCUGACUCAGGAAGAGCACAGUGGAACAGAAAGCCCUUGUACCACCUUCGCUGCUGUAUUCGUCCAUUCUCACACUGCUGUACAGAACUACCUGAGACUGGGGAAUUCAUGAAGAGAAGAAGUUUAAUUGACUCACAGUUCUGCGGGCUUAACAGGAAGCAUGACUGGGAGGCCUCAGGAAGCUUAUAAUCAUGGCAGAAGGCGAAGGGGAAGCAAGGACCUUCUUCACAUGGCAGCAGGAGAAAGAGAAGAAGGGAGAAGUCUACACACUUUUAAACAACCAGAUCUCAUGAGAAUUCCAUCGGGAGACAGCACUAGGGGGAUGGCACUAAACCAUUAGAAACUGCCCCCAUGAUCCAAUCACCUCUCACCAGGCCCCUCCUCCAACACGUGGGGAUUACAAUUCCACAUGAGAUUUGGUUGGGGACAUAGAGCCAAAUCCUAUCAGCUGGUAUCCUCCUUUUUCCAGGCUUUAGAUAUGGCACAACCUGAUGGCUUCUGCAUAAAGCCUCCUCUCAUCUGCAUCUCUCCACCUCACUCACCCUCUUUUCAGCAAAGAACCCUCUGGCUCUAGUUUCACUGUGGUGGUCCUGGGAGAGGUAGAGAAGACCCAGAGGCUCCUUACCCUGGGAGGUCAAACUGACCAUCCAGGUUUGGCUCUUCCCUGCUGGUGUGUCUAGAACACCAUCUUCCCCUUAUUGCUGUGGACUUCAGGGCUCUGCUGCUCUGUCCUCCACAGAACUUGUCAAUCAGCUUCCUACCAGCUAAGAUCUGGUGCUGUCUGAUAUAUCCUCCCUGCGGCUUGUCACUCAUGCUGUCUAAUGGCGUGAGGUGCAUUGAGUUGUAUUCUGAUGUCUUUGUCCUUUUGAAGCCACAGAGUAAGGUCACACAACUUUGAAACGAGCAGGGUACCAUCUGAAGAUGCUGGACAUUCCUUUUAACAAUUACCUAGGGGAGAGGCAGUCCUCAGACAGGACUCAGGUGGGUGGGCCUCAAAGAGGAAGGGAAAGGGGGCAGCUGCCUGCCUCUGAACUUCACUCUCUAGACUCGUGGAAGGGUCUAGCUUAGAGCUAGGAUGGGAGGGCUGUGAGCACUGAGGAUGGAGUCAUGCCUUUUUGUGACUGGACACAUUUUUACUGCCCGAAGUCAUCUACUGCCCCCACCCCCCAACCCCAUUCUUCUGCCCACUUAGCGAAUAUUGAGGUUAUGGUCAGGAUGGGGUCAUUUGCAAUGAAAUUCAAGGUUGAGACUAUGUUGCAGUUAUCUGUCUGCUUGUAAAAAGUCACCCCCACAUUUUGUUUAAAACAGCAAGUAUGUACUAUUUCACACAGUUUCUGUGGGUCAGGAAUCCAGAAGCGGCUGAGAUGGGUAGUUUAGGAUCAGGGUCUCUCACAAGGCUUUGGUCCAGGUGCAGGCUGCAGUCCUCCAGAGGCGGGACUGGGGCUGGAGGUCUGCUUCCAGACGGUCACUCACAUGGAUGUGGGCAGGCGGCCUCAGUUCCCUGCCACAUGGCCCUCCUCAUAGGACGCUUGAGUGUCCUCGCGGCAUAGCAGCUGGCUUUCCCCAGAGUGACCCAAGGUGGAAAGAACAAGGCAGAGGUGACAGUGUCUUUUAUAAGCCAGCCUUGGAAGUGACGUAGCAUCAUUUCUGCCUUAUUCCAUUGGUCACACAGACAACCCGAUGUGGAAGGAGACAUCACAAGGACAGGAAUACUGGGAAGCAGGUAUUGUUGGUGGCUGUCUCGGACGCUGGUUCUCAUAGAAGUAGAUGUAUUAUUUUAGUACAAUAAGUGCAGACGAUCAGCUAGCAGGAUGUUAUUUUUGCUGGGUAUGGUUGUAUUUCAGGUGCAUUUACCCAAAUCCAGAGUACCUUUGGGGGCUCUGACCCUCUCCUCCUCCACCUUGAGAUCUGUAGAGGCCUCUCGUUCAUCCCACCAAGAGCAGGACUGGACAGAUGAAAGCAUGGCUUACAGGAGGCCAACACAAUAGGAGGUAGGGCUUUGGGAAGACAGCAUAGGUUUCAAAAGAACCAAGAAGCUGUUGAAAAGGAGAGCAGAUGGGCAGGGAAGACAAGUCCCAGAUAGAAUGCCCUUUGCAACCUAGGGGGAGCUGACCACAGUGUGCAUCCUGACACUCGAAGACAAGGUCUCCAUCAGCAGAUUGCCCAACAGAACAAGUUCAGAGCCCAGAGAUCCCAGUUCCAGAUCUCAGAUCUCCCACACCCUGUGGGCUCUGUGUGGACUUUCGUCCUGAAACAAAGUCCUUUAGUAAAGGACUCUUUAAAUUCACUCCAUCUGUGCUUUGCUUGCCAAUAGCAGGGUGCGUCUGUUACAUACUGGACUAUCCCUUCCUUCAAUAUGUUCAUGGCUGAGGCUGCAUUUGUGCCUCAGAUAAUCAAGGUGAGUAUAACUCUCUGUUCUGUUUCCCUUUUGUUUCCUCCAAGACUUUAAUAAACCCUCAUUCAAGAGGCCCACCUUGUCCCACCUGUGCUUCUCAGAAAAGAAGGAGUGGUGGGGAGACAGGCUGGGGUGGGGGCUUUGCCACCUGGCUGCCCCUUCACCUGUGGGUUCUUGCUCCAAUGAGGACCCAGCAGGAUAAGCUUUAGUUUCAUUAAGGGUGACAAUAGUUUCCUUACAGCUGGGUCAAGGAUAUGAGCGAGCCUCUUCCGAAAACAGCCGGGAAGGGAGAGGAAUCCAAGAGGAGGAGCAGGUGGGAAAGACAAGACAGAAGGUGGAUCGGGACCAGGCCUGGGAGGGAGCACAGGCACACAGAAGUGAAAGAAUUCGCCUGAGGUUACACGACUCCUCGAGCGGUGCCUUUAGCUCUGCAUUGUGCCACCUGCCUGGGUCAAGGAAGAUGCCACCGCUGUUGUUCUGUGUACAGAGAGGGAAAGGAAGAUGCUGGCUCUCAGCAGUUCUAUAGAACAGAGGAUGGAGAGGCCACACGACAAUAGGCACACGCACCGUACAUUGAAGAAGUGCAUGCAAGACAGAAUCGUGUGGGAUAUGCACACUUGCGUGGAAGAAAAACUGUUCCAUUCACAUUGAGAAGAAGAAGAAGAAGAGGAGGAGGAGGAGGAGGAAGAAGAAAGAUGGUGAGAUAUCCUGCAGGAGACCAGGGCCAGGAGGGUGGAGGCCUCUCAAGAAGAGGGAAGCAUGAGGAAGCUCCAGGGCAGGAUGGUUUACCUGCCUGGACAGCAAGAUGAUGGCUACACUAGCCCCCAUUCUCUGGGCGCCUGGAUUUGCCCACCAGAUCUCCUCACCUCUUGCCCUUCACCUCCUGCUGUACCUACAAGGUCUCCCCGAUUCUCAUCUGCCCAUAAUCAUGGACACAGCCCCAGGAUGUGCAGGACUCUCAGGGACCAUCUGGAGUUCCAGCUGGAAUCUGGGCCUGGUGGAGUGGGAGUGGGGCAGGGGCCUGCAUUGGGCUGACUUAGAGAGCACAGUUAUUCCAUCCAUAUGGAAAUAAACAUUUUGGAUUCCUGAUCACA